GGAUAUCUCUUUUUGGAACUACUCACAAUCCAUUUUAGUUUUAACCACCUAAACAGCUCAGUGUCAUCAACAAACUUGGCUAUUUCACUACUUACUCAUAAUUCCAGAUCAUUUAUGAAUAGAUGGGAAAGACACCAUUUUCUAGCCAAUUUUC